GAAAAACCCCUACAUAAACAAAUACAUGGGCGCAGACAUUUUGGACACCCGAAGUUGUGCGGAGGAGAAAAUGCUAGCUGGCGCGUGAUUGGUCAAUAAGAGAAAAGACUGGUUAUGUAUUUGACAAGUGAAAUAAAGUUGAUAAAAAUCUCAUAUCAAGACUUGGGUUUCUUUGAGGUAUAUAGGAGUUACAGCGAUGCAUUCUCAAGAAGGAAGAGAUUAAUGAACCCUACCCUCUUACAAUGAACAACACAUGGAUACUCUCGGGAUGAUCCCUUUGCUUUCAUUAAGAGUUCCAAGAUGUGGGUCUGAUUGACUGGGGUGUGAAAUGUAACAGCCAAUGGUGUACUUAAGGAAAAACCCCUACAUAACAAAUACAU